UACUUGUACUGAUUGAGAUUUUAACACGAAGUGAGUGGCGAACGGGUGAGUAACACGUGGGUAACCUGCCCAGAAGUAGGGGAUAACACCUGGAAACAGAUGCUAAUACCGUAUAACAGAGAAAACCGCAUGGUUUUCUUUUAAAAGAUGGCUCUGCUAUCACUUCUGGAUGGACCCGCGGCGUAUUAGCUAGUUGGUGAGGUAAAGGCUCACCAAGGCAGUGAUACGUAGCCGACCUGAGAGGGUAAUCGGCCACAUUGGGACUGAGACACGGCCCAGACUCCUACGGGAGGCAGCAGUAGGGAAUCUUCCACAAUGGACGCAAGUCUGAUGGAGCAACGCCGCGUGAGUGAAGAAGGGUUUCGGCUCGUAAAGCUCUGUUGUU
rnacentral:rRNA from 1 species